rnacentral:misc_RNA from 1 species
AACCAGGACGUUCAUUGUUAACUCUCUGCAAAAAGCCGAAACAACUCCAACUACUUCAUCCAAGAUUUAUCAUCCAUGGCCUCAUCCAGAACCCCACACUCUCUUCUCAACCGGUUGACUCCUAUGCCAUAGCUCCAAAAAAAAAUCUUCAAUUCUGUCUCCAAUCCAUCACCCUUUUGUAUAACACAAAUUUAAGAAACUUUGCCACGUUUGGAGACUUUAAAUGUACCCUUUUUUCGUACAAGAAAUGGGUUUAAAUUCCAUGCGCCCUGAUGAGGAAACAUACCCAUUUG